rnacentral:lncRNA from 1 species
AUGACUGCCACCAUCCGCCGGCAGGUUACUGCCCCAGGCGUGCAGCCGCCGGGGUAAAGAAAUUGUGUCAUUACAGUUACGGGUGCCACCUGCAGUUGAGAGCAUUUUUCUGUCAGAGCAUUAAGCAGCGAAACUAAUUCAAGGCUGUGGAAAAGGAAAUGCUUCCUAGAGCAGCUUAAGAUGAACUGCUUUGGUCAAGGACAUGAGUGGAGGAUAGU